rnacentral:rRNA from 1 species
CCUACGGGUGGCAGCAGUGAGGAAUAUUGGUCAAUGGCCGCAGGGCUGAACCAGCCAAGUCGCGUGAGGGAUGACGGUCCUAUGGAUUGUAAACCUCUUUUGUCGGGGAGCAAAGCGAACCACGUGUGGUUCAUUGAGAGUACCCGAAGAAAAAGCAUCGGCUAACUCCGUGCCAGCAGCCGCGGUAAUACGGAGGAUGCGAGCGUUAUCCGGAUUUAUUGGGGUUAAAGGGUGCGCAGGCGGAGGUGCAAGUCAGCGGUCAAAUUGCGGGGCUCAACCCCGUACUGCCGUUGAAACUGCAUCCCUUGAGUGCGCGAGAAGUAUGCGGAAUGCGUGGUGUAGCGGUGAAAUGCAUAGAUAUCACGCAGAACUCCGAUUGCGAAGGCAGCAUACCGGCGCGCAACUGACGCUCAUGCACGAAAGCGUGGGUAUCGAACAGGAUUAGUACCCGAGUAGUC